CUCCUAUAGUAAAUUAAAUUGUGGUGAGAGUGGAGGAAUCUAAAUUGUGUACAUGCGCAAAAAAUCCAUUCCAUCGUCUCAAACUUGAUGUAGCCUACUUUGUAGAAGUAACCUGUACAUACCUAGUAAUCUGCUCUGAAUAGGUACCUACUUAAUUUUUCAAAAUAACGUUUUCAAUCUGAAAAUCGAAGGAGCAAGAACCAAAUCUGCAAAAUUCAUGUUGUGAAAAAGUAAUUCUUCAUCCCCCUUCCUUUCCCCCCAUAUGUUUCCCACAAUCAAAUUUCAAGUUUCGCGAAUUAAAACAUCCUUAAUUCUUCAAUUUCUCUUCCUCCUUCUACUCUAUACAAAAAAAAUAAUAUGUAUCGGACGUAAGUACGAAAUAAUAUUGAUGGAAACCGACUCGUGGGGUUCCAAAGCCUUAUUUUUCCUUUGUUUUAAGGAAGAUCAGGCUAAAAAUUUAGUAACCUGAAAGUAGGUGUUCUGUAUUUGAUUUAAUAUUCAUGAGACGCGAGGAUACUCGUAUUUCUGAAAUUUAUAAUGUACCUAGAUCUGGGAAGAUGACCAACUAUCCUGGGAACCGAGUGAAUAUAAUGAUACAUAUUCUUUAGAUGUUGGGAAUUAUUUUCAUCAAAUAUGGAAACCGGAUUUCAUAUUGAUCAACAACGCAUUUCGGAAUAAUAAAUCUUUACUCGGUUCAGACUUAGAGGAUUACAUUACAACAGUUUGGCAUAAUGGAACAGUCGUAUUUUGGACAAGAUACAUCAGCAUUCAAGCUGGUUGCCAGAUCUUAAUUACAAGCAGGCCGUGGAUCAACCAAACGUGUCUGCUGUAUUUUGAAACCAGCUCACCAAAAUUUUUAUUCACCGUUCAUUCUACAAAUACGAACGAAUCUACCUCUAUGCUGUUUUUGAAAAAUACGACUUGGGUAAAUUCAAACAUUGAAUCACCAUGGAUGGUGAAUAAAACUCGAAAGAUAACAUCAGUAGAUGGAAACCACACAUCCUCCAAUAAUUUGACAUUGAUCGAGGUGGAAUUAUUCAGAAACAUGGGUCCUUAUAAAUCCACACGAU